AGAGUUUGAUCCUGGCUCAGAACGAACGCUGGCGGCAGGCUUAACACAUGCAAGUCGAACGGUCUCUUCGGAGGCAGUGGCAGACGGGUGAGUAACGCGUGGGAAUCUACCUAGUUCUACGGAACAACAGUUGGAAACGACUGCUAAUACCGUAUACGCCCUACGGGGGAAAGAUUUAUCGGAAUUAGAUGAGCCCGCGUAAGAUUAGCUAGUUGGUGGGGUAAUGGCCUACCAAGGCGACGAUCUUUAGCUGGUCUGAGAGGAUGAUCAGCCACACUGGGACUGAGACACGGCCCAGACUCCUACGGGAGGCAGCAGUGGGGAAUAUUGGACAAUGGGCGCAAGCCUGAUCCAGCCAUGCCGCGUGAGUGAUGAAGGCCUUAGGGUCGUAAAGCUCUUUCAGUGGGGAAGAUAAUGACGGUACCCACAGAAGAAGCCCCGGCUAACUUCGUGCCAGCAGCCGCGGUAAU
rnacentral:rRNA from 1 species